GUUGGGUGUUUCUUACAGUUGGAAUUCAACUGUGAUCAAAUGUACAGGUGACAGCUCUGCUGAGGAGGUAUAACACACACACAGCAGGACCUAAUCAAGCUGCAAAGUAACCUGAAGAGAUGAGAGCAGUGGGAGCUGUAGGAAACACAGAUGAAUUCAGGAGCAACGCCAGCCCCACACCACACAGUGAAGAAAUCAAUCGAACUGUCACAAAAUGAAGAUUAGAAAUAGGAGUUUCUUCCUCCAUCAAAGAGAGGAGCAGAAUGAUCCAUUAUUAAAUGUUUUUGCCAAGUGCUUUGUCUUUACCCUCUCUGAUCAGGAGUGAAAUUUUCCUCCCCAAGUGCAACUUCCAUCUUCCCAAACCAGAUACCUUGGGACAAUAAUUCUGAGACGUGAAUACCCAUGGCUUCAAAACUUGUUACUUUGAAGGUUCAUCAAGAGGACUGGCAUACACAUGGGAGAGCACACUGACACCAGUGCAGCCAGCCCAACCCGCCUGGACAAUUUUCAGCUAGCGGGCCAAAGUGUGAAGAUUAGGAUAUUCUUCUCAAAUUUAGAGAAUAUCUGACGCACAUUCACUGCCAGAUUACGAAGAAUGCUCUGUCAAGAAAAAGAGAAAGAUCUUCCAAAUUUUAUUCCUGAAAAAAAAGUUUGUCAUGCUACCUGAAGCCAUGAACAGAAAACAGUAAAUAUAGUGAAGCAUUAACACCCAUCAAGCAGCAUGUUUAUAGGCAACUGUCUGCUUCACACACCUUGAAUUGUAUAAUGAGACCAAGUGAGUUUUACUACCUACAAAGUAAUCAUUCUCAAAUGAGCUGUCUGGAAAGUAUUACUGUUUUUAUGAAAUGAAAUUUAUAUGUAAAAAUAACAAAACAAACUUGAGUAUUAAGUAGGUCCUUAUUGACAUGACUGGAAACAAUGGAAGCCGACCAGAAAUUGCCUGUCUGAUUUCUCACAAAAGAGAGUGGGCUCUAGGAAACCCUCUUCUACAGACCCUGAAACAAAAUCUUUUUCACUCUUCUACAGACCCUGAGAUUUUUUUUUUUUUUUAAUUUGAACCUUCUUUGACUCAUCACUCUUAGGGCACCAUGAAGUUUCUACUAGUAGCUUAUUGCAAACUUGUCCCUACAUCAAAAUUAGUAAAUUACUCUUUGGUCUCAGCUCAAACUGAAUUCUUAGAAGCCUUAAAACAGGGUUCAUAAAGCAGACACUGAAUUGAUUGCCAACUAGAACGGCUCGGUCUCAAAAGAGUACAGAAAGCUCACCUAAUAACCCCAUCUGCAGAGCCAGAAGCAGGACACAGACAGCAACUCAACACCAAUCCAAAAAUGGCAGCAUUACAGGAUAAUGAAAGACUGUAAAAUAGGCAUCAGGCAUGAAUAUAAGACAGAUUUUGGCCACAGGACCAGACAUUAAUUUUACAGUUUUCUCCAGGAGGACUGUGAUGCAGCAGUGAAUAAGUGACGGGGUCUGCGUGUGACAAACCAGCAGCUCAGAUGUUGAAACCACUCUUCUCCUCCCGCUUUUCCCUCGGUCUUUCUCUCCGGGGGCUCAGCCAGUUCACUGUUCAACCAGUUGGCUCAACAAAACUGACCUCCUUUACAUUUUGUGGGGAGCCACAGAUUUCUGGGCACAAAGAUUUUCAAAGGUAGUAAAAAAACGCCCAACAUCAGUGCUCACUGUAAAGAUGGAUGGUUGCAGCUCUGAGAGGAAGUAACGAAUCUGGGUAAGCGACAUAUCCCUUCUGAUCCACGAGCAAAGAGGCUUUCCAGACCUCGGUCCUUCAACUCUAACACUAGUCCCUCUCCCAUGAGACUCUGGAAGAAGAUCUCUUGGCUUGCACUGCUGGAAAAAGACACUGCUAGGUUUACUCUAAUGUAACAGAACGCCCAGACACAGAUAACCAUGAAAUCAUUAACCAGUGGUUAAUUACGGUGUAAAAAAGGUAAUUUCCUGCAAAAUCUUCCCUUUGUAAAUGCAAAGAAAUAAAAUCUUACAUUGGACUGGAUAAUAGAGGUCAGAUUCCAUCUCUUCUUUGGUGGGUACAUUCCAGA